rnacentral:rRNA from 1 species
UACGUAGGGUGCAAGCGUUGUCCGGAAUUAUUGGGCGUAAAGAGCUCGUAGGCGGCUUGUCGCGUCGGCUGUGAAAACCUGGGGCUCAACCCCGGGCCUGCAGCCGAUACGGGCAAGCUAGAAUUCGGUAGGGGAGACUGGAAUUCCUGGUGUAGCGGUGAAAUGCGCAGAUAUCAGGAGGAACACCGGUGGCGAAGGCGGGUCUCUGGGCCUUACCUGACGCUGAGGCGCGAAAGCUAGGGGAGCGAACAGG